rnacentral:ncRNA from 1 species
CACCCAUAGAUGAGGAAGGGCGUAGCAAGCGACGAAAUGUUUCGGGGAGUUGAAAAUAAGCACAGAUUCAGAGAUUUCCAAAUAGGCCGACCUUUUAAACUGCCAGCUGAAUCCAUGAGCAGGCAAGAGACAACCUGACGAAUUGAAACAUCUUAUUAGCCAUAGGAAAAGAAAGCAAAAGCGAUUCCCGUAGUAGCGGCGAGCGAAAUGGGCAUCUUCUCGGACACUGACAAGUGA